GAUGAACGCUGGCGGCGUGCCUAAUACAUGCAAGUCGAGCGAAUGGAUUAAGAGCUUGCUCUUAUGAAGUUAGCGGCGGACGGGUGAGUAACACGUGGGUAACCUGCCCAUAAGACUGGGAUAACUCCGGGAAACCGGGGCUAAUACCGGAUAACAUUUUGAACCGCAUGGGUCGAAAUUGAAAGGCGGCUUCGGCCGUCACUUAUGGAUGGACCCGCGUUGCAUUAGCUAGUUGGUGAGGUAACGGCUCACCAAGGCAACGAUGCGUAGCCGACCUGAGAGGGUGAUCGGCCACACUGGGACUGAGACACGGCCCAGACUCCUACGGGAGGCAGCAGUAGGGAAUCUUCCGCAAUGGACGAAAGUCUGACGGAGCAACGCCGCGUGAGUGAUGAAGGCUUUCGGGUCGUAAAACUCUGUUGUUAGGGAAGAACAAGUGCUAGCUGAAUAAGCUGGCACCUUGACGGUACCUAACCAGAAAGCCACGGCUAACUACGUGCCAGCAGCCGCCGUAA
rnacentral:rRNA from 1 species